GAACUUAAGCAUAUCAAUAAGCGGAGGAAAAGAAACUAACAAGGAUUCCCCUAGUAACGGCGAGUGAAGCGGGAAGAGCUCAAAUUUGAAAUCUGGCGGUCUCGCGGCCGUCCGAGUUGUAGUCUAGAGAGGCGUUAUCCGCGGCGGACCACGUACAAGUCCUUUGGGAUGCGGCGUCAUAGAGGGUGAGAAUCCCGUCCAUGACGUGGACUACCGUCGCUUUGCGUUGCGCCUUCGAAGAGUCGAGUUGUUUGGGAAUGCAGCUCAAAACGGGUGGUAAAUUCCAUCUAAAGCUAAAUAUUGGCGAGAGACCGAUAGCGAACAAGUACCGUGAGGGAAAGAUGAAAAGAACUUUGGAAAGAGAGUUAAACAGUACGUGAAAUUGCUGAAAGGGAAACGCUUGAAGUCAGUCGCGUCUUCGAGGAUUCAGCUCGACUUUUGUCGGGCGCACUUCCUCCGGGGACGGGCCAGCGUCGGUUUCGGGCGGGGAAGAAGGAUGAGGGGAAUGUGGCACCUUUGGGUGUGUUAUAGCCUCUUGUCGGACGCCUCGCUCGGGACCGAGGACCGCUUUAAUAGGAUGCUGGCGUAAUGGCUUUAAGCGACCCGUCUUGAAACACGGACCAAGGAGUCUAACAUGCUCGCGAGUGUUCGGGUGAAAAACCCUUGCGCGUAAUGAAAGUGAAAAGUUGGGACGCCUUCUCGGCGGCACCGACGCCCGACCCUGACGUUCUCCGACGGGUUUGAGGUAGAGCGAGUAUGCUGGGACCCGAAA
rnacentral:rRNA from 1 species